rnacentral:rRNA from 1 species
CGUAGGGUGCAAGCGUUGUCCGGAAUUAUUGGGCGUAAAGAGCUCGUAGGCGGUCUGUCGCGUCGGCUGUGAAAACUCGGGGCUCAACCCCGAGCCUGCAGUCGAUACGGGCAGACUUGAGUGCUGUAGGGGAGGACUGGAAUUCCUGGUGUAGCGGUGAAAUGCGCAGAUAUCAGGAGGAACACCGGUGGCGAAGGCGGGUCUCCUGGGCAGUAACUGACGCUGAGGAGCGAAAGCGUGGGGAGCGAACAGGAUU